rnacentral:tRNA from 1 species
GGGAGCGGAUCGAUUCCUGGUGGAACGCCCGGUCUUCAAAACCGGUGGGACGGGCAAAUAACCCGUUCGGUGGGUUCGAUUCCCAUGCGCUCCCGCCA